rnacentral:rRNA from 1 species
AUGAAAGGAGGCAAGGCGAUGGGCCCUGAUUGUAUCCCCAUUGAUGUGUGGAAAGGUCUCGGGGACAUAGCGAUAGUAUGGCUAACAAAGCUUUUCAACCUCAUUUUUCGGGCAAACAAGAUGCCAGAAGAAUGGAGACGGAGUAUAUUAGUACCAAUCUUCAAGAACAAGGGGGAUGUUCAAAGUUGUACUAAUUACCAUGGAAUUAAGCUGAUGAGCCAUACAAUGAAGCUAUGGGAGAGAGUCAUUGAGCACCGCUUAAGAAGAAUGACAAGCGUGACCAAAAAUCAGUUUGGUUUCAUGCCUGGGAGGUCGACCAUGGAAGCCAUUUUCUUGGUAUGA